UACAACUCUCCAGUUCUGUGAUUCUAUAAUGUUGUUUUAAGCCUGAACAUUGGACCUCCCAAGUAUUCAAAAGAGGUUGAACCGGCUGAACGAUGUUUUCAUUUCGGGAAGAAAACACCCCUGCUCAAUAAUCGCUUCAGAAAUUUGCUCACUGAAAAGAAAUGGAUUGGACUGAACAGAUUCCAGCAUUGUUCCUGCUCAUCCUUACGAUCAUAUUCAUUUGGAAAUGGGGCAGUUUCUGGAAUAGGAGCUCCAAAAAUCUCCCACCAGGUCCGACACCUUUACCACUUGUUGGGAAUCUCCACAUGAUGGAUCUGAAGAGACCUUACAGAACAAUGUUAAAGUUGUCAAAAGAACAUGGCCCCAUCUUCCGCAUCCAAAUGGGAUUCCAGAAAAUGGUGGUGCUGACAGGGUAUGAGACAGUCAAGGAGGCUCUGGUGAAUCAGGCAGACGCAUUUGCAGAGAGACCCACCAUCCCAAUUUUUGAGGACCAUGCAAGGGGCUUUGGUGAGGUCUUUCCUUCUGUAUAAUAGCUUGUGCUGUUUGUGAAAUUUAGUUAUCAUAGCAAUAUAGAAUCUGUGCCAAAAGGUUCAUAGAACUGAUUAUUAGUUUCAAUUAUAGCUUGGAGGACAGCCUGUCAAUCGACCAGUGU